rnacentral:rRNA from 1 species
UAGGGAAUCUUCGGCAAUGGACGAAAGUCUGACCGAGCAACGCCGCGUGAGUGAAGAAGGUUUUCGGAUCGUAAAACUCUGUUGUUAGAGAAGAACAAGGACGUUAGUAACUGAACGUCCCCUGACGGUAUCUAACCAGAAAGCCACGGCUAACUACGUGCCAGCAGCCGCGGUAAUACGUCGGUGGCAAGCGUUGUCCGGAUUUAUUGGGCGUAAAGCGAGCGCAGGCGGUUUCUUAAGUCUGAUGUGAAAGCCCCCGGCUCAACCGGGGAGGGUCAUUGGAAACUGGGAGACUUGAGUGAAGAAGAGGAGAGUGGAAUUCCAUGUGUAGCGGUGAAAUGCGUAGAUAUAUGGAGGAACACCGGUGGAGAAGGCGGCUCUCUGGUCUGUAACUGACGAUGAGGCUCGAAAGCGUGGGGAGCAAACAGG